UGCCCCAUGGCUGAGUUGGUUACAGCGUCCGACUGUUAUGGAGUGCUUAAUGCCACGCUAUCGGAAGGUCGAGAGUUCGAGCCUCUCUGGGGCAG